UCUAAACGACUCUCGGCAACGGAUAUCUCGCGUCUCGCAUCGAUGAAGAACGUAGCGAAAUGCGAUACUUGGUGUGAAUUGCAGAAUCCCGUGAACCAUCGAGUCUUGAANNNAAGUUGCGCCCAAAGCCAUUAGGCCGAGGGCACGUCUGCCUGGGCGUCA
rnacentral:rRNA from 1 species